AGAGUUUGAUCCUGGCUCAGGAUGAACGCUAGCGACAGGCUUAACACAUGCAAGUCGAGGGGCAGCGGUGGUGAAGGCUUGCCUUUACCAGCCGGCGACCGGCGCACGGGUGAGUAACACGUAUGCAACCUGCCUGCCACAGCCGGAUAAUCGGGAGAAAUUCCGUCUAAUACGGCAUAAUGCACCUAUGGGACAUCCUGUUGGUGCCAAAGGUUAAUUCCGGUGGCGGAUGGGCAUGCGUCGCAUUAGUUAGUUGGCGGUGUAACGGACCACCAAGACGACGAUGCGUAGGGGUUCUGAGAGGAAGGUCCCCCACACUGGUACUGAGACACGGACCAGACUCCUACGGGAGGCAGCAGUGAGGAAUAUUGGUCAAUGGGCGGGAGCCUGAACCAGCCAAGUCGCGUGAGGGAUGACGGCCCUAUGGGUUGUAAACCUCUUUUGCCGGGGAGCAAAGUGCCGCACGUGUGCGGUUUGGAGAGUACCCGGAGAAAAAGCAUCGGCUAACUCCGUGCCAGCAGCCGCGGUAAUACGGAGGAUGCGAGCGUUAUCCGGAUUUAUUGGGUUUAAAGGGUGCGUAGGCGGACGCUUAAGUCAGCGGUAAAAUUGCGGGGCUCAACCUCGUCGAGCCGUUGAAACUGGGUGCCUUGAGUGGGCGAGAAGUACGCGGAAUGCGUGGUGUAGCGGUGAAAUGCAUAGAUAUCACGCAGAACUCCGAUUGCGAAGGCAGCGUACCGGCGCCCAACUGACGCUGAAGCACGAAGGCGUGGGUAUCGAACAGGAUUAGAUACCCUGGUAGUCCACGCAGUAAACGAUGAA
rnacentral:rRNA from 1 species